UUAGAUUCAAUCCACUUAACAGAUAAGGCUAUGUUUUAUCCUAUCCAAUCCUCUAUCUCUAUAAUUGUCACCAAUGCUCUGUCACAUUUUUAAAAGCAUCGUACUAUAAGCUAACAUAACCAUUAUAGGAUCCAUGAUUUGCCUUAGUAUGUGUAUUUUGGAUUAAACUAGCUUUAUUUUUUUAUAUUGAUGAUAACUUAAUUAAGAGGAUGAUGAUUCUGACGAGUUUAAUGAAACAUCAUACAAUGAUG
rnacentral:lncRNA from 1 species